UACGUAGGGGGCAAGCGUUGUCCGGAUUUAUUGGGCGUAAAGAGCGUGUAGGCGGCUUUACAGGUCCGUUGUGAAAACUCGAGGCUCAACCUCGAGACGCCGGUGGAAACCGUAAAGCUAGAGUCCGGAAGAGGCGAGUGGAAUUCCUGGUGUAGCGGUGAAAUGCGCAGAUAUCAGGAGGAACACCAAUGGCGAAGGCAGCUCGCUGGGACGUGACUGACGCUGAGACGCGAAAGCGUGGGGAGCAAACAGG
rnacentral:rRNA from 1 species